UACGUAGGGGCAAGCGUUGUUCGGAAUCAUUGGGCGUAAAGGGCGCGUAGGUGGCGCCGCAAGUCAACGGUGAAAGCUCGACGCUUAACGUCGAGUCGGCCGUCGAGACUGCGGGGCUCGAGCACUGUAGAGGCUCAUGGAAUUCCUGGUGUAGCGGUGGAAUGCGCAGAUAUCAGGAGGAACACCGAUGGCGAAGGCAGGUCUCUGGGCCAUUACUGACACUGAGAAGCGAAAGCAUGGGGAGCGAACAGG
rnacentral:rRNA from 1 species